rnacentral:rRNA from 1 species
AGUGAACGCUGGCGGUAGGCCUAACACAUGCAAGUCGAACGGCAGCACAGGAGAGCUUGCUCUCUGGGUGGCGAGUGGCGGACGGGUGAGGAAUACAUCGGAAUCUACUCUGUCGUGGGGGAUAACGUAGGGACACUUACGCUAAUACCGCAUACGACCUACGGGUGUAAGCAGGGGACCUUCGGGCCUUGCGCGAUUGAAUGAGCCGAGGUCGGAUUAGCUAGUUGGCGGGGUAAAGGCCCACUAAGGCGACGAUCCGUAGCUGGUCUGAGAGGAUGAUCAGCCACACUGGAACUGAGACACGGUCCAGACUCCUACGGGAGGCAGCAGUGGGGAAUAUUGGACAAUGGGCGCAAGCCUGAUCCAGCCAUACCGCGUGGGUGAAGAAGGCCUUCGGGUUGUAAAGCCCUUUUGUUGGGAAAGAAAUCCAGCUGGCUAAUACCCGGUUGGGAUGACGGUACCCAAAGAAUAAGCACCGGCUAACUUCGUGCCAGCCGCCGCGGUAA